GGUGGAAGCAAGGGAGCCCAGCCGAAGCCAUGGCCAGUACAGUGGUAGCAGUUGGACUGACCAUUGCUGCUGCAGGAUUUGCAGGCCGUUAUGUUUUGCAAGCCAUGAAGCAUAUGGAGCCUCAAGUAAAACAAGUUUUUCAAAGCCUACCAAAAUCUGCCUACUGCCAAUAAAGGGAAAAUAAGAGAUGCUCACUGACGAAUUAUGCUUUCAAAUCAUCCUGACAAAGGAGGAUCUCCUUAUAUAGCAGCCAAAAUCAAUGAAGCUAAAGAUUUACUAGAAGGUCAAGCUAAAAAAUGAAGUAAAUGUAUGAUGAAUUUUAAGUU
rnacentral:lncRNA from 1 species